AAUGAACGUUGGCGGCGUGGAUAAGGGCAUGCAAGUCGAGCGGAAAGGCCCCUUCGGGGGUACUCGAGCGGCGUAAGGGAGAGUAAUGCAUGGAUCAUCUACCCUAAGGACCGGAACAGCUACGGGAAACUGUAGGUAAUGCCGGAUAAUGUCGAAAGACCAAAUGGUACUUCCGCCUUGGGAUGAGUCCAUGUCCUAUUAGCUUGUUGGUGUGGUAAUGGCACACCAAGGCUUCGAUGGGUACCGGGUGUGAGAGCAUGGCCCGGCUCACUGGGACUGAGACACUGCCCAGACACCGUUCGGGUGGCUGCAGUCGAGAAUCUUCGGCAAUGGACGAAAGUCUGACCGAGCGACGCCGCGGUGGGGGAUUGAAGGUCCUAUGGAUCGUAAACCUCUUUCGAUUGGGAUGAAAUCCAGGGGUCCACUCCUGGUUGACAUAUCUUUGGAAGAAGGACGGGCUAAGUUCGUG
rnacentral:rRNA from 1 species